GGGGAGGUAAACAAGUGCAUCAUGCCAGUCCUGGGAUGGUCCCUCUGGGUGGAGCUGCCUCGUCCUUAUAGAAGGAGUCUCCAUCACAGGGCUGUCAUUGUUGUGAUGGUCAUAGGUCUUUGGAGCCUCUGAUUCCUUAAGACCCAGGAAGGAUGUCUCACCACCAGCAUCCGCAUCCGCAUCCACAGCAUCACCAUCAGGUCAAGGAGCCCUGCCAUCCACCUCCAAAAGUGUGCACACAGAAGUCCCAUAAGCCUUGCACAUCUCAUUCAUGUCCACCUCCAGUGAGCCAGCAGAAAUGCCCUCCUGGGCCACCAUGCCCACCAUGGGAGCAGAAGAGUCCACCCAAGUGGAAGUAACAGCACCAAGAUCCAGGCUCUUCCAUUGCUCUCCCUUCGGCCAUGGUGAUGGACUGCAUCUUCCUUAAUCUCCCUCCUGAACCCACAGCUGACAGAGAAAAGGCUUGGUUCCUAAAGUUGACUCUAUGUUGAACAUAGCAACUUUCUGUUGGAAAAAGAUCAGCAGGAUCAUCGCUUGAUCUCUCUUUGCCAUGUUCCUGUCUGUAAUCCACGUUGUGAUCUCUAUCCCAUGAGCCAUUAGUGUGUCUAUUCUUUUGCUUCUCCAAUAAAGCAUAUUCAUAGCCCAU